AACGAACGCUGGCGGCAUGCCUAACACAUGCAAGUCGAACGAAGCCUUCGGGCUUAGUGGCGCACGGGUGCGUAACGCGUGGGAAUCUGCCCUUGGGUUCGGAAUAACAGUUAGAAAUGACUGCUAAUACCGGAUGAUGUCUUCGGACCAAAGAUUUAUCGCCCAAGGAUGAGCCCGCGUCGGAUUAGCUAGUUGGUGAGGUAAAGGCUCACCAAGGCGACGAUCCGUAGCUGGUCUGAGAGGAUGAUCAGCCACACUGGGACUGGGACACGGCCCAGACUCCUACGGGAGGCAGCAGUGGGGAAUAUUGGACAAUGGGCGAAAGCCUGAUCCAGCAAGGCCGCGUGAGUGAUGAAGGCCUUAGGGUUGUAAAGCUCUUUUACCCGGGAUGAUAAUGACAGUACCGGGAGAAUAAGCCCCGGCUAACUCCGU
rnacentral:rRNA from 1 species